CUGAGGAAACCGAAGUAUAUAUAAAAGCACAUUAUAGUCCACUUACAAAUACUUGUUCAUCUUUACCCACAACGAAAUACUGUAGCUAUUUUAAAGGGAAAAUGCAAAGUAGUUCAUUCAUCUUAUUUUUGUGUAUCACAGGAUGCCAUAUUUCGUAUGAAUAUGCUUUGGAUAGAAAGAUUAAGCAGAGAACUAUAGAGGAGAAAAUUGUUCAUUUGCUAAGGUCCUCGCUUUCGUCAGAGGAUAAACGGGAAAGUGGUACAUGUCCAACGGGGAUGGACUAUGAUGAAGCUACUGAAAGUUGUAAAUGUUUUGACAAAAACUCUGUAUACAAUGAAGAAAAGAAAAUAUGCCAGUGUAAUAAUGGUUUUAAAGAAUUCAUCUUGACAGAUAAUCGUAUAGAGUGUUUCAAAUAUGACGACGGUGUUUUUGACCUACCUGGAUUGGAUGGAUAGAGAGAAUAAUCAUGUCUACAAUUAUGCACAUUUAUUUUGUACUAUCUAUUGAAAUGAAAAUGACAAUCAAUAUUUCGAAAACAUAUAUAUUAAUCAGCCGUAGAAUUAAUAUAGUCCCCUAUCCUUUCUUUUUUUUUAAAGCUCUUAUAUCGUUAUCAACAUAAUGAUCACCAAGACAUCAUAUAAUAAUUGGUAAAAACAGAGAAACGUGAUAGAUAUUUCAAUUGAGAGAAAACACAACGAAACAUAGCAGAACACAUGCAAAUAAAAGUUAAAUGAGGCAAUGCUCAUAAUACCCUCGAUGAUGUUAAGGGCAUAGGAUACAGUUUCGAUCCCACGGAAAUUUUUUCCGAAAAUUUGCAUACAAGCUAUUUUUCAACUGGUCAAUUCAAAUAUGUUGUACAUGUACGUCUAUUCGUUCAGUGUAUGUUCACUUGUUUUUGUUAAUAUGUCUUUUGAUUGAAUAAAGCCAUUUUC